CCUGGUUGAUCCUAUCAGAACCAUAUGCUUGUCUCAAAGAUUAAGCCAUACAUGUCUAAGUACGCAGGGCCAGUACAGUGAAACUGUGAAUGGCUCAUUAAAUCAGUUAUGGUUCUUUUGGUUGCUGGCUCCUCUCCUACUUGGAAAACUGUGGUAAUUCUAGAGCUAUUACAUGCCGAAGGGCACUGACCCCCUUCACGGGGAAGAUGCGUGCAUUUAUCAGAUUAAAACCAACCCAGUCAGCCCCUCUCCGGCCCCGGCCGGGGGGUCGGGUACCACCAGCUUUGGUGCCUCUGGAUAACCUCGGGCCAAUCGCACGCCCCCCGUGGCAGCGAUGACCCAUUCGAACGUCUGCCCUAUCAACUUUCUAUGGUAGUCACUGUGCCUACCAUGGUGACCACGGGUGACAGGGAAUCAGGGUUCGAUUCUGGAGAGGGAGCCUGAGAAACGGCUACCACAUUCAAGGAAGGCAGCAGACAUGCAAAUUACCCACUCCUGACACGGGGAGGUAGUGACGAAAAAUAACAAUACAGGACUCUUUCGAGGCCCUGUAAUUGGAAUGAGUCCACUUUAAAUCUUUUAAUGAGGAUCCAUUGGAGGGCAAGUCUGGUGCCAGCAGCCAUGGUAAUUCCAGCUCCAAUAGCGUAUAUUAAAGUUGUUGCAAUUAAAAAGCUUGUAGUUGAAUCUUGGGAGCAGGUGGGCUGGUGAGCCACGGCCCAUCCCUGCUUCUUGCCUCUCGGUGCCCCCUGGAUGCUCUUAGCUGAGUGUCCUCUGGCCCAAAGCGUUUACUUUGAAAAAAUUAGAGUGUUCAAAGCAGGCCCAAGCCACCUGGAUACUGCAGCUUGGAAUAAUGGAAUGGGACUGCGGUUCUAUUUUGUUGGUUUCCGGAACUGAGGCCAUGAUUAAGAGGGAUGGCCGGGGGCAUUCAUAUUGCACCGCUAGAGGUGAAAUGCCUGGACUGGCACAGUUUGAACUGGAGCAAAAGCAUUUGCCAAGAAUGUUUUCAUUAAUCAAGAAUGAAAGUCGGAGGUUCGAAGACAAUCAGAUACCGUGGUAGUUCCGACCAUAAACGAUGCCGACUGGCGAUGUGGCGGCGUUAUUCCCAUGACCCGCUGGGCAGCUUCCAAGAAACCAGCCUUUGGGUUUUUCAGUUCCGAGGGGAGUAUGGUUGCAAAGCUGAAACUUAAAGGAAUUGACAGAAGGGCACCACCAGGAGUGGAGCCUGUGGCUUAAUUUGACUCAACAUGGGAAAACUCACCCGGCCUGGACAGGGACAGGAUUGAUAGAUUGAUAGCUCUUUCUCGAUUCCAUGAGUUGUGGUGCACGGCCUUAAUUGGUGGAGUGAUUUGUCUGGUUAAUUCCGAUAACGAACGAGAUUCUGGCAUGCCAAAUAGUUAUGCGACCCCCAAGUGGUCGGCAUCCCCCAACUUCUUAGAGGGACAAGUGGCGUUCAGCC
rnacentral:rRNA from 1 species